GUGUAACGCGUAUACAAUCUACCUUUUGCUGUGGGAUAGCCCAGAGAAAUUUGGAUUAAUACCGCAUAGUAUGUAGAGUUGGCAUCAACACUAUAUUAAAGGUUACGGCAAAAGAUGAGUAUGCGUCCUAUUAGCUAGAUGGUGUGGUAACGGCACACCAUGGCAACGAUAGGUAGGGGCCCUGAGAGGGGGAUCCCCCACACUGGUACUGAGACACGGACCAG
rnacentral:rRNA from 1 species